UACGGGGGGGGCAAGCGUUGUUCGGAAUUACUGGGCGUAAAGGGCGCGUAGGCGGCCUGCUAAGUCGGAUGUGAAAUCCCUCGGCUCAACCGAGGAACUGCAUCCGAUACUGGCGGGCUUGAAUCCGGGAGAGGGAUGUGGAAUUCCAGGUGUAGCGGUGAAAUGCGUAGAUAUCAAGAGGAACACCUGAGGCGAAGGCGGGUUGCUAGGCUGACACUGACGCUGAGGCGCGAAAGCCAGGGGAGCAAACGGG
rnacentral:rRNA from 1 species